rnacentral:rRNA from 1 species
AGGGUGUAAACGCUGCCGACUUGGUGUUGGAGGCCCUUCGGGGGCGAUUCAGUGCCGGAGAGAAGUUGUUAAGUCGGCCACUUGGGGAGUACGUCCGCAAGGAUGAAACUUAAAGGAAUUGGCGGGGGAGCACCGCAACGGGAGGAGCGUGCGGUUUAAUUGGAUUCAACACCGUAAAACUCACCAGGGAAGACUGUUACAUGAAGGCCGAGAUGAAGACUCUGCUAGAUUUUCAGAGAGGAGGUGCAUGGCGUCAGUGACU